rnacentral:rRNA from 1 species
GACGAACGCUGGCGGCGUGCUUAACGCAUGCAAGUCGAACGGAAAGGCCCUGCUUUUGUGGGGUGCUCGAGUGGCGAACGGGUGAGUAACACGUGAGUAACCUGCCCUUGACUUUGGGAUAACUUCAGGAAACUGGGGCUAAUACCGGAUAGGAGCUCCUGCUGCAUGGUGGGGGUUGGAAAGUUUCGGCGGUUGGGGAUGGACUCGCGGCUUAUCAGCUUGUUGGUGUGGUAGUGGCUUACCAAGGCUUUGACGGGUAGCCGGCCUGAGAGGGUGACCGGCCACAUUGGGACUGAGAUACGGCCCAGACUCCUACGGGAGGCAGCAGUGGGGAAUAUUGCACAAUGGGCGGAAGCCUGAUGCAGCAACGCCGCGUGCGGGAUGACGGCCUUCGGGUUGUAAACCGCUUUCGCCUGUGACGAAGCGUGAGUGACGGUAAUGGGUAAAGAAGCACCGGCUAACUACGUG